rnacentral:rRNA from 1 species
AUUAAAACAGUUAUAGUUUAUUUGGUACUCGAUUUACAUGGAUAACCGUGGUAAUUCUAGAGCUAAUACAUGCUUUAAAGCCCGACUUCUCGGAAGGGCCGUAUUUAUUAGAUAACAGACCAAUAUUCCUCGUGUCUAUUGUGGUGAGUCAUAGUAACUUUUCGGAUCGCAUGGGCUUUGUCCCGCGACAAACCAUUCAAGUUUCUGCCCCAUCAGCUUUCGAUGGUAGUGUAUUGGACUACCAUGGCUUUCACGGGUAACGGAGGAUUAGGGUUCGAUUCCGGAGAGGGAGCCUGAGAAACGGCUACCACUUCUAAGGAAGGCAGCAGGCGCGUAAAUUACCCAAUUCUAAUUCAGAGAGGUAGUGACAAGAAAUAACGGGUCGGGCCUUCGGGUCUGGGACUGCAAUGAGACGAAUUUACACCCCUUUUCGAGCAUCAAUUGGAGGGCAAGUCUGGU